rnacentral:lncRNA from 1 species
AACAGCCUCCAAAGGAUAUUCCAAGCAAGUGAGCCCUGAGACUGCAAGCAGCUCUAAGAAGUUCCGCAUUGAUCAGGUCUUCCCUUUUGAGAAUCUGGAUAAGCUCCAACCAAUCUAAAAGGAUGGUUUGCAGACUGUCUGGAGAAAAAGAUCUUCCUCAGAAGAAUAGGCUUGUUGCCUUACAGUG